rnacentral:rRNA from 1 species
UAACGCGUGAGCAACCUUUCCCAGACAGGGGAAUAACACACCGAAAGGUGUACUAAUACCGCAUAAGACCACGGGAUCACAUGGUUCUGAGGUAAAAGAUUUAUCGGUUUGGGGUGGGCUCGCGUCCGAUUAGGUAGUUGGUGAGGUAACGGCCCACCAAGCCGACGAUCGGUAGCCGACCUGAGAGGGUGAUCGGCCACAUUGGGACUGAGACACGGCCCAAACUCCUACGGGAGGCAGCAGUGGGGAAUAUUGGGCAAUGGAGGAAACUCUGACCCAGCAACGCCGCGUGGAGGAAGAAGGUUUUCGGAUCGUAAACUCCUGUCCUUGGAGACGAGUAGAAGACGGUAUCCAAGGAGGAAGCCCCGGCUAACUACGUGCCAGCAGCCGCGGUAAUACGUAGGGGGCAAGCGUUGUCCGGAAUAAUUGGGCGUAAAGGGCGCGUAGGCGGCUCGGUAAGUCUGGAGUGAAAGUCCUGCUUUUAAGGUGGGAAUUGCUUUGGAUACUGUCGGGCUUGAGUGCAGGAGAGGUUAGUAGAAUUCCCAGUGUAGCGGUGAAAUGCGUAGAGAUUGGGAGGAACACCAGUGGCGAAGGCGACUAACUGGACUGUAACUGACGCUGAGGCGCGAAAGUGUGGGGAGCAAACAGGAUUAGAUACCCUGGUAGUCCACACUGUAAACGAUGAAUGCUAGGUGU